rnacentral:rRNA from 1 species
AUUGAACGCUGGCGGCAGGCCUAACACAUGCAAGUCGAACGAGUGGCGGACGGGUGAGUAAUGUCUGGGGAACUGCCUGAUGGAGGGGGAUAACUACUGGAAACGGUAGCUAAUACCGCAUACCAUCAGAUGUGCCCAGAUGGGAUUAGCUAGUUGGUGGGGUAACGGCUCACCAAGGCGACGUGCCCUAGCUGGUCUGAGAGGAUGACCAGCCACAAUGGGACUGAGACACGGUCCAGACGCCUACGGGAGGCAUCAGUGGGGAAUAUUGCACAAUGGGCGCAAGCCUGAUGCAGCCAUGCCGCGUGUAUGAAGAAGGCCUUCGGGUUGUAAAGUACUUUCAGCGAGGAGGCGUUACCGGCAGAAGAAGCACCGGCUAACUCCGUGCCAGCAGCCGCGGUAAUAC